GCGGCGGCGGAGGCGGGGCGUGCAGGGCGUGCGGGGCGGACGCAGCCUCCCUCCCGCGGGGGUCGUGCGUUCCCGGAGCGCGCGGGUAUGGGGAAGAGGGGCGGCCCCUGCGUCCCCGCCCCCUCCCCGCGCUCAGGGACUUCCGGGCCGCCGGGCCGCGGGAGAGGCUCUGUGACACCCUCCAAAGACCUCGGGAUCCCAACGCCGCUAAGGUGGAGGGGAAGUUCUGCAGCCCACCCCUGUCCCUCCGUGCGAACUAAUGGAAACCCGUGAACUCCCUGGAGAAGGCGGCCGGCGGACGAGACCACAGUAAGGGCUCCUAAGGCUGUCUUCCCCUCUCUCCGUCUGCCUCCCGGCUGAUUGUGGUUCUUUGCUCUGUGAACCUGCGGAACAUGCCACGCCUUCCGUCUCAGGCGUCUGUCCCGAGAGGAGUAGCAGGAAGUUCCCAAAACACACAUGUUGCACAGACGUGUGGAUGAAGAUUCACAGCCUGGAAAGCGGUCUUCUCCUGUACACGCUUCUCCUGUACACGCUUCUCCUGUACACGCUUCGAGGGAAGUGACGCAUCUGAGCAGGCGUGGGAGGUCCCAGGCCCGUUCCCAUAAAGUCGGAGGCAUCCAGACUGAAAGGAAGCUGACGGAGGUCUACGUGUCAGAGCGGGUCCGUCCGUGUCACUGGGGCCUCGCUGAGACUACAGCUGCCAGCAGGACAGGCGCGGGCAUUUCCGGUGCUGGGGACACAGGUGUCCUUGUUCCCUGCGAUGGCUGCUGCCUUCUCAUUCCCGGGUCCCCCUGCUAGUCCUGGGACGCAGAAGAUACAACAAUGACUAACAAUGCUCUGGGUACCGUUACUCUCUGUUUAUAGGGGAGAAAGCAGGUCGGAGGCUGCUUGGCUCGGAAGCAGCAAAACCGGGGUGCAAACCUAGUCCUCCGGGUUCCCAGGCAGACCAGUGGACCCCCCCAUUGCACCAGGAAAGAUGUGUCUGCCGUGUACAGAUCUCAUUUCAUUUUCCUCCCAACUAAUUGUUCUUAAGUGCUUCCUGCCAGGCACUGAUAACCGGAUGAACCGAGAUUGGAUGAAGCUAUUAAUGUCCUCCUGAGAGCGCGUGUGGUGAGCCGCAGGAUUGGGGGGGUGCUUUUCUCCCGGGACCCUGGCCUGAACCAGGUCGUGGUCGUCUCAGGCAGUGGCCCUCCCCUGGAAGUUCAGGUCCAUUCAUCUGGAGCUCAUGUCCGGGAAGCUCUAUUUGAACCGCUGCUUUGGGCUGCCGCGGUAAACAGCCCGGCUCAGGAACAGUCCGACGGGACUUCAACGGAAGCCUCACAGGGGCGAGAGCAAGCCUGUCUUUCUUUUCCUGGUCUGCAAGCCUUCACUGAGCACUCACUAGGUCUCAGUUACUUUUCCAAGUCUUAGGCAUGUAGGAAGGAAGACGGUGAGGCUUUGUUUUCAGGCUUGCUUGGGGACAGUGGACAAGUACAGGAGUAAACACAGAGGACGAUCUCUGAUUGUGGCGGCUGGUGGCCUGGGAGAGGUCGAACACGGGGGCAGGAGCCGCAGGGAGAGGGCUACCACAGCACCCUGCGGAGUGGCGUUUGCUCCGAGACAGGGUGACCGCAGGGGGAGAGUAUCCCAGGCAGCGGGGGCAGGAGACGGCCCCUCCGGAUCGAGCGUAUGGAACGGCCGACUUGGCUUCUGCGUCGAGCACGGCGUGAACAAGGGGGAGCCGUCCGCAGUGUGCUGAGACCAGCCAGCGAGCAUGACGCAUCUCACCGAAGGCCUCACAAUCAAGCGGGAGGUUUAGAUUUUCUUCUGGAGGGUGGGACGCAGGGGAGCGACAUGAUGUAAUUGUUUUCCCUGGCGUGUGCUGGUCGUUGGAUAAAGACGAGUGUCUAGGGAUCCAAAGUGGUGGCAGGAAACCAGUGAGGAGGCUCAUGGGAGCCCAGGCUAGAGCUGCUGGUGUCUCAGGCCUGAGUGGGAGAGGCGGAAGUGGGGAGAAACGUACUGGUCAGGGGUGGAGCUGCCAGGAGGCUUUGCUAGAGAUUGGAGGCUGGAUGAGUGGGAGGCUGCAGGCUAGAUGUGCUGGAGGCUGGAUGUGUGGGAGGCUAGAGGCUGGAUGUAUGGAGGCUGGAUGUGUGGGGGCUGGAGGCUGGAUGUGUGGGAGGCUGGAGGCUGGAUGUGUGGGGGCUGGAGGCUGGAUGUGUGGGAGGCUAGAGGCUGGAUGUAUGAAGGCUGGAUGUGUGGGGGCUGGAGGCUGGAUGUGUGGGAGGCUAGAGGCUGGAUGUAUGAAGGCUGGAUGUGUGGAGGCUGGAGGCUGGAUGUGUGGAGGCUGGAGGCUGGAUGUGUGGAGGCCGGGUGUGUGGAGGCUGGAUGUGUGGGAGGCUAGAGGCUGGAUGUGUGGAGGCUGGAGGGUGGAUGUGUGGGAAGCUAAAGGUUGGAGGCUGGAGGCUGGAUGUGUGGGAGGGUGGGGAGGCAGGGUAGGUCAAGGAUGGCUCCUGGGCAUGGACCUGGGUGACCGGGUGAAUGAUGAGUCACAUAGUGAUGGGAGAGCAAAGGGGGCACUGGGUCAGAUGGUGUCUCCCUCAAGUUUAGGUUUACUGACAGACUCCUCUUUUCAACGGGCGUCCACUUUGGCCCAUAAAGACUGCCAACUCUCAGCACGGAGGAUUUUGCCCACCCCGAACCCCCACACGAAAAGACUUGAACAAACACAGAGUUUCUAACCGUGAAGGCCAUGUCUCCGAUGACCCCGGCCCCUCGUAAAGUACCAGCCAGAGAAUGCACAAGGCUGCCAGGAGAACCUGGUGCCAGACAGACCCGCUCCCCUGCCGAACUUCCCUGCCCCCAGGCAGUUACUUCAGAAAGCUCAAUACAUCCUCUCUCCCCUGAUGUGCCUUCCACUUCCCAGAAGCCCUUCUCCAGGGCCUGAGAGCUGCGCCUCGGGAAUGCACACAUCCUGGGCGGUGACUCCCUGUUCUCUCCGGCCCCACGGGCACCUGUACCACCACCUCCUGUCACACAGGGGUUUGCUUCUGCAGGUGAGCGCCUGCGAACCUGUCUCUGCUGGAGCCCUGGCUCGUCCCACCCUCCCCGGCUCCCCCUGAAAUGCCUGGUCACCCCUGCACAUUGGCAUUGAACUGGGGGCCCUUUCCCUGUUGCCAUGCUUCUAACCGAAGAGUCUAUCGCUACAGCUUUUUUUUUUUUUUAAAGAUUCUAUUUAUUUAUUCGACAGAGAUAGAGACAGCCAGCAAGAGAGGGAACACAAGCAGGG